rnacentral:rRNA from 1 species
CGGACGGGUGAGGAAUACAUCGGAAUCUACUCUGUCGUGGGGGAUAACGUAGGGAAACUUACGCUAAUACCGCAUACGACCUACGGGUGAAAGCAGGGGAUCUUCGGACCUUGCGCGAUUGAAUGAGCCGAUGUCGGAUUAGCUAGUUGGCGGGAUAAAGGCCCACCAAGGCGACGAUCCGUAGCUGGUCUGAGAGGAUGAUCAGCCACACUGGAACUGAGACACGGUCCAG